CUCUCUCUCAUAAACUGCCAAGUGCCUAGUAAGAAAAGGUUGAAACUUUCCUUCUCCUUUUAUGUAUCAAUACACACACCCCUACCAAAUGGGUUUUUCUCUUUUGCUUCUUUUUGCUCUCUCAGCUAUGUUAAGAAAGAGGCACUUCUUCAGCAUAAUAGUAUUAAAAAAGAAAGUGCCACAAGAACAACAUCAUAAAACAAUU
rnacentral:lncRNA from 1 species